rnacentral:rRNA from 1 species
UACGUAGGGGGCAAGCGUUGUCCGGAAUCAUUGGGCGUAAAGCGCGUGUAGGCGGUUCGAUAAGUCUGCUGUGAAAGUCCAGGGCUCAACCCUGGGAUGCCGGUGGAUACUGUCGGACUAGAGUACGGAAGAGGCGAGUGGAAUUCCCGGUGUAGCGGUGAAAUGCGCAGAUAUCGGGAGGAACACCAAUUGCGAAGGCAGCUCGCUGGGACGUCACUGACGCUGAGACGCAAAGCG